rnacentral:rRNA from 1 species
CACGUAGGGGGCAAGCGUUGUCCGGAUUUAUUGGGCGUAAAGAGCUCGUAGGUGGUUCGGUAAGUCGGGUGUGAAACCUCCAGGCUCAACCUGGAGACGCCACCCGAUACUGCUGUGACUGGAGUCCGGUAGGGGAGCGUGGAAUUCCUGGUGUAGCGGUGAAAUGGCGCAGAUAUCAGGAAGAACACCUAUGGCGAAGGCAGCACUCUGGGACGGUACUGACGCUGAGACGCGAAAGCCAGGGGAGCAAACGGG